UGGGGAAUAUUGCACAAUGGAGGGAACUCUGAUGCAGCAACGCCGCGUGCGGGAUGACGGCCUUCGGGUUGUAAACCGCUUUCAGCCAUGACGAAGCUUUUGUGACGGUAGUGGUAGAAGAAGCACCGGCUAACUACGUGCCAGCAGCCGCGGUGAUACGUAGGGUGCGAGCGUUGUCCGGAAUUAUUGGGCGUAAAGCGCGCGCAGGCGGCUUCCUAAGUCCAUCUUAAAAGUGCGGGGCUUAACCCCGUGAUGGGAUGGAAACUGGGAAGCUGGAGUAUCGGAGAGGAAAGUGGAAUUCCUAGUGUAGCGGUGAAAUGCGUAGAGAUUAGGAAGAACACCGGUGGCGAAGGCGACUUUCUGGACGAAAACUGACGCUGAGGCGCGAAAGCGUGGGGAGCAAACAGG
rnacentral:rRNA from 1 species